UACGUAGGGGGCUAGCGUUGUCCGGAAUCAUUGGGCGUAAAGAGCGUGUAGGCGGCCGGGUAGGUCUGCUGUGAAAACUCGAGGCUCAACCUCGAGACGUCGGCGGAAACCAUCUGGCUAGAGUCCGGAAGAGGAGAGUGGAAUUCCUGGUGUAGCGGUGAAAUGCGCAGAUAUCAGGAAGAACACCCGUGGCGAAGGCGGCUCUCUGGGACGGUACUGACGCUGAGACGCGAAAGCGUGGGGAGCGAACAGG
rnacentral:rRNA from 1 species